CAGCCCUUCAACUCCCUCUCGGAAGGUUCUAGGCACGCCCCUGCAGCCUGCGUCUCAACUGCCUCGCUCCUCUCACCACACGCGGAAACUCAAUCCUUCUCCCGGCCAGCCCUCCGUCCUCCUGUCUACUGCCUCUGAAAGCUCUUAGGUUUGGGACAAAACAGUUUCUUUCUCUGAAGAUGGAUUUAAUAAUAUCAGCUGCUACGGUUUGAGGGUGUUUCCCAGAGGCUCAUGGGCUGGGAGCUUGGUCUCCAAGUAUGGUGACUGUUGAGGGAGUGGAACCCUUGUGGUGGGGCCUGGUGUAAGCAGUCAUGGACUCAUUCACGCUGCUCUCACAGCACUGACCUUGCAAGAUCCAACUGUUAGAAACCAAGGGCACCCCAUGCACUUGACCCCUUCCAUAUGUCACCAGUUCCCUUUCCCUGCGGCUGCCGGGGACCCUUCAAGAGACCAGUGCCAUGCUAUUAAACAAACCUUUUUAUAAAGU